UACGUAGGGAGCAAGCGUUGUCCGGAUUUAUUGGGCGUAAAGAGCUCGUAGGCGGCUUAGAAAGUCAGGUGUGAAAACUCUGGCUUAACCCAGAGACGCCACUUGAUACUUCUAUGGCUUGAGUUCGGUAGGGGCCUGGAAUUCCUGGUGUAGCGGUGAAAUGCGCAGAUAUCAGGAGGAACACCGAUGGCGAAGGCAGUGGUCUGGGCCAUACUGACGUGAGGAGCGAAAGCGUGGGGGAGCGAAACGG
rnacentral:rRNA from 1 species